rnacentral:lncRNA from 1 species
AUAAACUCUCUUGAUGCUUCAUUCCGGAAUGAGGCAAUUAACAAUGAAAUGGAAUCCAUUAUUGAAAAUAAUACUUAGAUCCUCACUGAUUUACCUCCUAGAAACAAACCUUUAUGAUGCAAGUGGAUCUUCAAACAAAAAUAAGGACUGAUUGUACCAUUAAAAAAUUUACGGCAAGGCUUGUUGCUCAAAAUUUUGGACAAAAAAUUGGUAUUGAUUUCUUUGAUACCUGUUGUAGCCAAUCCCUUGGAGCACCU